AACGAACGCUGGCGGCGUGCCUAACACAUGCAAGUCGUGCGAGAAAGUUCCUUCGGGAGCGAGUAAAGCGGCGCACGGGUGAGUAACACGUAGGUAACCUGCCCCCCAGUCUGGAACAACUAGAGGAAACUCUAGCUAAUGCCGGAUGAGACCACGAUCCCUUCGGGGGUUGCGGCCAAAGAUGGCCUCUACUUGUAAGCUAUCGCUGAGGGAUGGGCCUGCGGGCCAUUAGCUUGUUGGUGAGGUAACGGCUCACCAAGGCUGUGAUGGCUAGCUGGUCUGAGAGGAUGACCAGCCACACUGGGACUGAGACACGGCCCAGACUCCUACGGGAGGCAGCAGUGGGAAUAUUGCGCAAUGGGCGAAAGCCUGACGCAGCGGCGCCGCGUGGGUGAUGAAGGCCU
rnacentral:rRNA from 1 species